AGAAAGAUGCCUGAUUAAAGGGCUAUUUUGAUAGAAUAGAUCACGUUUCAUUGACUCUUUCCA
rnacentral:tRNA from 1 species